rnacentral:rRNA from 1 species
CGAGAAAAGCUUCUAGUUAGAAAGUACCGCCCGUAUCGUAAACCGACACAGGUAUGCGGGGAGAGAAUCCUAAGGUGCGCGGGAGAACCCUCGUUAAGGAACUCGGCAAAAUGUACCCGUAACUUCGGGAUAAGGGUAGCCACCGUUGUGAAGGAAUUUACUUCUGGAGCAUAGCGUGGUCGCAGAGAAGAGGCCCAAGCGACUGUUUACCACAAACACAGGUGCCUGCUAAAGAGAAAUCUGACGUAUAGGUGCUGACACCUGCCCAGUGCCGGAAGGUUAAGGAAGGAUGUCCGGAGUAAUCCAAAGCAUUCGACCGAAGCCCCGGUGAACGGCGGCCGUAACUAUNACGGUCCUAAGGUAGCGAAAUUCCUUGUCGGGUAAGUUCCGACCCGCACGAAAGGUGUAACGAUUUGGGCACUGUCUCAACGAGGGACCCGGUGAAAUUGAAGUACCUGUGAAGAUGCAGGUUACCCGCGACUGGACAGAAAGACCCCAUGGAGCUUUACUGUAACCUGACAUUGGGUUCUGAUACAUCACGUACAGGAUAGGUGGGAGGCAUGGAAGCGUGGACGCUAGUCUACGUGGAGCCGCCGUUGGGAUACCACCCUUGAUGUAUCGGAAUUCUAACCGUAGGAGUAACGAAACUCGGGACAGUGUCAGGCGGGCAGUUUGACUGGGGCGGUCGCCUCCCAAAGAGUAACGGAAGCGCCCAAAGGUUCCCUCAGCGCGGCCGGAAAUCGCGCGAAGAGUGUAAAGGCCGAAGGGAGCUUGACUGAGAGCCAAACACGGCAAUCAGGUACGAAAGUAGGGCUUAGUGAUCCGGUGGCAUCCAAGUGGAAGGGCCAUCGCUCAACGGAUAAAAGCUACCCUGGGGAUAACAGGCUAAUCUCUCCCAAGAGUCCAUAUCGACGGGGAGGUUUGGCACCUCGAUGUCGGCUCAUCACAUCCUGGGGCUGAAGUCGGUCCCAAGGGUUGGGCUGUUCGCCCAUUAAAGUGGUACGUGAGCUGGGUUCAGAACGUCGUGAGACAGUUCGGUCCCUAUCCAUCGCGGGCGUAAGAGAUUUGAAGGGGGCUGCUCCUAGUACGAGAGGACCGGAGUGGACGAACCAAUGGUGUACCAAUUAUCCUGCCAGGGGUAUAGUUGGGUAGCUACGUUCGGAAAGGAUAAACGCUGAAAGCAUCUAAGCGUGAAACCAGCCUUAAGAUGAGAUCUCUCAUAGCAAAAGCUAGUAAGACACCUUGAAGAAGACGAGGUUGAUAGGUCGGGAGUGUAAGUACAGUAAUGUAUUCAGCGGACCGAUACUAAUAUGUCGAGGGCUUGACUAU